UACGUAGGGACCAAGCGUUGUUCGGAUUUACUGGGCGUAAAGGGCGCGUAGGCGGCAAUUCAAGUCAGCUGUGAAAACUCGAGGCUCAACCUCGAGACGUCGGUUGAAACCGUUUGGCUAGAGUCCGGAAGAGGAGAGUGGAAUUCCCGGUGUAGCGGUGAAAUGCGCAGAUAUCGGGAGGAACACCUGUGGCGAAGGCGGCUCACUGGCCCGAUACUGACGCUGAGGCACGAAAGCGUGGGGAGCAAACAGG
rnacentral:rRNA from 1 species